CAAAGGAAUUGACGGGACCGCACAAGACGGUGGAUGAUGUGGUUUAAUUCGAUGCAACGCGAAAACCUUACCCACCUUGACAUGUACGGAACCUUUAGAGAUAGAGGGGUGCUCGAAAGAGAGCCGUAACACAGGUGCUGCAUGGCUGUCGUCAGCUCGUGUCGUGAGAUGUUGGGUUAAGUCCCGCAACGAGCGCAACCCUUGUCAUUAGUUGCUACAUUCAGUUGGGCACUCUAAUGAGACUGCCGGUGACAAGCCGGAGGAAGGUGGGGAUGACGUCAAGUCCUCAUGGCCCUUAUAGGUGGGGCUACACACGUCAUACAAUGGCUGGUACAAAGGGUUGCCAACCCGCGAGGGGGAGCCAAUCCCAUAAAGCCAGUCGUAGUCCGGAUCGUAGUCUGCAACUCGACUACGUGAAGUCGGAAUCGCUAGUAAUCGUGGAUCAGAAUGUCACGGUGAAUACGUUCCCGGGUCUU
rnacentral:rRNA from 1 species